GAACUUAAGCAUAUCAAUAAGCGGAGGAAAAGAAACUAACAAGGAUUCCCCUAGUAGCGGCGAGCGAAGCGGGAAGAGCUCAAAUUUAUAAUCUGGCACCUUCGGUGUCCGAGUUGUAAUCUCUAGAAGUGUUUUCCGCGUUGGACCGCGCAUAAGUCUGUUGGAAUACAGCGGCACAGUGGUGAGACCCCCGUAUGUGGUGCGGACGCCCAGCGCUUUGUGAUACACUUUCGAAGAGUCGAGUUGUUUGGGAAUGCAGCUCAAAUUGGGUGGUAAAUUCCAUCUAAAGCUAAAUAUUGGCGAGAGACCGAUAGCGAACAAGUACCGUGAGGGAAAGAUGAAAAGCACUUUGGAAAGAGAGUUAACAGUACGUGAAAUUGUUGGAAGGGAAACGCUUGAAGUCAGACUUGCUUGCCGGGCAACCGGUUUGCAGGCCAGCAUCAGUUUUCCGGGGUGGAUAAUGGUAGAGAGAAGGUAGCAGUUUCGGCUGUGUUAUAGCUCUCUACUGGAUACACCUUGGGGGACUGAGGAACGCAGUGUGCCUUACGGCGGAGGUUCGACCUCUCACACU
rnacentral:rRNA from 1 species